AGCAGCCGCGGUAAUUCCAGCUCCAAUAGCGUAUAUUAAAGUUAGUUGCAGUUAAAAAAGCUCGUAGUUGAACCUUAGACCCGUGCGGGCGGUCCGUCCUCAGGGCGAGCACUGCUUCGUCGCGGGUCUCACCUUCUGGCGAGCGUGGAUGCCAUUUAUUUGGUGUCUGCGGGAACCAGGACCUUUACCUUGAAAAAAUUAGAGUGCUCAAAGCGGGCUCAUGCGCUUGAAUACAUUAGCAUGGAAUAAUGAAAUAGGACGAUGGUUCUAUUUUGUUGGUUUCCGGGACCGUCGUAAUGAUUAAUAGGGAUAGUUGGGGGCAUUCGUAUUCAAUUGUCAGAGGUGAAAUUCUUGGAUUUAUUGAAGACGGACUACUGCGAAAAGCAUUUGCCAAGGAUGUUUUCAUUAAUCAAGAACGAAAGUUGGGGAUCGAAGACGAUCAGAUACCGUCGUAGUCUCAACCAUAAACUAAUGCCGACUGGGAAUCGGACGAUGUUAUUUUUUGUGACUCGUUCGGCCG
rnacentral:rRNA from 1 species